UUCAUUCCAUUCCUCCAUCAUAUUAUGCAGAUCCUCAUCACAUGAAACAGAAACCAAUGCAUCAAGAUCCUCUCCAGGAAGCUGAUAUUUUAUCACAUGAGCUUGGUCAUAAAUUGCUAAAGUUUUCUGCUUAAGCUCUUCCCACGAAUUUUCCUUUGAUAUACAUAUAAUUCGCGUUUCACCCCCAACAUACCUAAACUUUCCAUCACUAGGACGGGGCAGUAUUGUACCACCAAAGCUGCAGAGAACCUUUGUCUUUGUAGAUGCUCUAUUAGAGGCCAUUGAGGAGGUAAAACCAUGUACAAAUUCUUGACUUUCACAUUCUGAUGAAGUUUGUGGCACCGAAUAAACUGACCCGUGGUUGCUUCUCUCUUCAUACAAAGACAAGUUUGUUCUCUCAAUUUUUUUUGCACCUUUCUCAGCUAAAGGGAGCAUUGAAACAUCUGAAACACUUUCAGAACCUGUAUGACUAGUACUUAAAAUACCUUUUAGUUCCAUAUAACUCGGGGCAUGAUUAGGAUCACUAAGCAUACUUGGGAUGAGAGGCUUCUUAUGAUUAACUCGAUCACGCAUAAAUUCAAGAGCAAACUCCUCACCUGUCUGUAUGGAGUAAUUAAGUACAGGUUUAACUUCUGAAACAUUUAGGUCACGAAGUCUCACAUUAGUAUUUCUGCUGCUUGUAGGGUCUAUCAGAAAUGCUUGACAUGCAGGAUGGAAUCCUUCACGUCCAGGUUCCCUGGCAUUGUAUUGAUAUUGCUUAUGUGUAUCUGAUCGUUCUGUUGUGAUAUUGUUUGGAUUCCUCUCCAUUUAAACCAACUUGAUUGGGAUUUACCUCAACACAGUGAAGAUCACAUGAAACGGACAUAAAAAUAGCCCUAAAAUAUAUAACAAAUUACAAACUCCACCCACAGAAAAAGUCAGUAAUAACAGUGAGACUCAAAAGAUGAAUUUGCCCACAAAAAUAUGAAAACAGGAAACAAGCUUCAGUUGGUUCCCAGUUCAAGUUGCCCUUAAAAAAUAUCCAAGCCCUUCAGCAAUACUAAAUUUGGUAAGGUGCGACAGCAAUCAGAACACGGAAGUCUAGAAUCCUAAAAGCAUAAUAUGCUGUAAGUAGUGAAAACUGAGGAAGGAUAGAAAAACAUAAAAAAGCAGGAAAACAUUAUUUAAAUAUAUUUAGUUGUGUUACUUCUCGUGUUAUUGCGCCAAGCAAAUAGAUCACUUGACUUAUCAGUUACUAAAUCUUGCAGUUGACAGGUUUUAGUUCACGUCACGCCAUAUUUUUACCAAAAUUUGGUAAUUCUGUACCACACAUAACAAGGCAAACAAAACGAGAAGUUCUUAACUUUGUGGCCGUAACACCGAGUAAUCAAGACAUGAACAACCACACCUGCCAACUCUAGACUGAGCAUGAAAGCUGUAGCUAAAGACAAGAUCAUCUAUGGAAAAAUAAUCAAAUUGUAACCAAUAAGAUAAAAAAUUAGAACGAAAAUGGGAUAAAUUAGUGGAAAACAUAUACCUGAAGCAAAAGAAAAACUGUGUGUUGAAGCAAUUAGAAGUUUUGAUGGAAGAAAGAUUGCGUGAGGCACCAGCAGCAACUACUGUAUAAAGGAGAGACUGUGUGCAGCAUCAAAUAGAUGAAAUCAUUUCUCUGUUUUCUCGCUUACUUUCCCUCAUUCUCCCUCACUUUCUAUCUCGUUGAUGAUUUGAUUCUUUAUGCUUUUGUUACAGUAAUCAUGAAAUAAAAUUGCUUUACCAUGUCGGACGCUUGGCGCUAACAAAACUCGCCUGUUACCAAG
rnacentral:misc_RNA from 1 species